rnacentral:rRNA from 1 species
UACGAAGGGGGCUAGCGUUGUUCGGAAUCACUGGGCGUAAAGGGCGCGUAGGCGGCUUAUCAAGUCAGGCGUGAAAUUCCCGGGCUCAACCUGGGGGCUGCGCUUGAUACUGAUUGGCUUGAAUGCGGGAGAGGAUAGUGGAAUUCCCAGUGUAGAGGUGAAAUUCGUAGAUAUUGGGAAGAACACCGGUGGCGAAGGCGGCUAUCUGGCCCGUAAUUGACGCUGAGGCGCGAAAGCGUGGGGAGCAAACAGG